GACGAACGCUGGCGGCGCGCUUAACACAUGCAAGUCGAGCGAUGAAAUCUUAACAGCACCCUUCGGGGUGAAGAUAAGACGGAUUAGCGGCGGACGGGUGAGUAACACGUGAGUAACCUGCCUUUUACACAGGGAUAGCCUCAGGAAACCGGGAUUAAAACCUGAUGAAACUAUCAAAUCACAUAAUUAAGAAAGUUAAAACUCCGGUGGUAAAAGAUGGACUCGCGUCCCAUUAGCUAGUUGGUGAAGGUAACGGCCCACCAAGGCAACGAUGGGUAGCCGGCCUGAGAGGGUGAACGGCCACAUUGGAACUGAGAAACGGUCCAAACUCCUACGGGAGGCAGCAGUGGGGAAUAUUGCACAAUGGGGGAAACCCUGAUGCAGCGACGCCGCGUGAGCGAAGAAGGCCUUCGGGUCGUAAAGCUCUUUUAUAUGGGAAGAUAAUGACGGUACCAUAAGAAAAAGCCCCGGCUAACUACGUG
rnacentral:rRNA from 1 species